UACGUAGGGUGCGAGCGUUGUCCGGAAUUAUUGGGCGUAAAGGGCUCGUAGGCGGUUUGUCGCGUCGGGAGUGAAAACUCAGGGCUUAACCCUGAGCCUGCUUCCGAUACGGGCAGACUAGAGGUAUGCAGGGGAGAACGGAAUUCCUGGUGUAGCGGUGAAAUGCGCAGAUAUCAGGAGGAACACCAGUGGCGAAGGCGGUUUUCUGGGCAUUACCUGACGCUGAGGAGCGAAAGUGUGGGGAGCGAACAGG
rnacentral:rRNA from 1 species